rnacentral:pre_miRNA from 1 species
GGGGGGAGCGCAGGUUCCUGGGCUGUGCCCCUGCACCCUGGGAUCCGGGGCCUGCGCUGCUGGAAUGGUGCUCCCGGGGGCCUCUCAGCCCCCU